rnacentral:rRNA from 1 species
AGCUCCAAUAGCGUAUAUUAAAGUUGUUGCAGUUAAAAAGCUCGUAGUUGGAUUUGUGGUGUAUGCCGGCGGCCUGGUACUUAGUAUCGGAGCUUGCUUGCGUCGCCAUCCUUGGGUGGAUCCUGUGUGGCAUUAAGUUGUCGUGCAGGGGAUGCCCAUCGUUUACUGUGAAAAAAUUAGAGUGUUCAAAGCAGGCUUAUGCCGUUGAAUAUAUUAGCAUGGAAUAAUAAGAUAGGACCUUGGUACUAUUUUGUUGGUUUGCGCACCAAGGUAAUGAUUAAUAGGGACAGUUGGGGGUAUUCGUAUUCCACUGUCAGAGGUGAAAUUCUUGGAUUUUUGGAAGACGAACUACUGCGAAAGCAUUUACCAAGGAUGUUUUCAUUAAUCAAGAACGAAAGUA